rnacentral:rRNA from 1 species
UAUCUCUGUAGAGUCUGCAUAUCAAUAAGCGGAGGAAAAGAAACUAACAAGGAUUCCCUUAGUAACGGCGAGUGAAGCGGGAAGAGCUCAAAUUUGAAAUCUUCAAGGUUCUACCUUGACGAAUUGUAGUUUAAAGAAGUGUUUUCUGUUAGAUGAGUAGCAAAAGUUCCUUGGAAUGGGACAUCAUAGAGGGUGAGAAUCCCGUAUUUGGUUAUUCAUUCUAGCUUUGUGAUACACUUUCAAAGAGUCGGAUUGUUUGGGAAUGCAGUCCAAAAUGGGUGGUAAAUUUCAUCUAAAGCUAAAUAUUGGCGAGAGACCGAUAGCGAACAAGUACCGUGAGGGAAGGAUGAAAAGAACUUUGAAAAGAGAGUUAAACAGUACGUGAAAUUGUCAAAAGGGAAGCGUUUGACACCAGUGUUGUUUUUCCGAAAAUCAAUUACGAAUGGCUUGAUUUUGUGUUGUAUUGACCUUAUCAGCUUUCUUCACUUUUUUCGAGUCUUUCUUAAUGCACUUUUCGGUUAACAAGUCAACAUCAAUUUCUUUUGUUGUAAAAGAGUAUUCGGAAGGUGGCUUUCUUUUCGGAGAAAGUGUUUAUAGCCCUAUACUUCUACAAUCGGAGAGAUUGAGGUCUGCAGCGUAGAUCCUUCGGGGUUAGAUACACUUGUGCUAAGUUGUAGCUUUUCAUAGACAACUUGUUGACUAUGUUUAGUCAUGCGGCUUACUCGCUUGUGCUAUUUUACCUACGCUUAGGAUGUUGACUGAUAUGUAGUCGU